UGUUUUCCAAAAUAUUUAAGCCAACCAAACAUGGGAAAAUUGGAAAACAUUUUCCGAAAAAUAUUUUCCUUGAUACCAAACACACUCAUAGUCUUGAGUCUUAAAGAUAUGUUUUAUAGAGGGUGGUCAAAUGUCUAAUUUUCUUUACUGUUGCUUUAAAAAGUUAUUGAGGCAUUGCUGUUGUUACUCUCAAUCUUCUCUUUUUAUGUAGGUUUUGAGAUUGUUACUGACAUCGUUCUUCUCCUUCACUUUUUUAUCUUCAUCAUCAAAGUAUUCUGCUUACCGGGAACUACGCAAACUAAAGGUUGCAACUGACUGAUAAUUGAACAAGAUGACGAUGAAGAAGACUAAAGCCCGACCAUAUAUUGAGGAAUUGAUGGAUAGUCAGAACUACUCUGAAAUCCAAGCACAUGAUGAUCAAUUUAAUGAGUUGAAUAGUUUUGUUGGUGGCACUGAGAUUCAACAUAACGACGAUUGAGGUUUAUGUGUGGCUAGUGGCUUAGUGGCAUAGCGGCAUGGUUGAUACGGAGAUUUAGGGUAAGGGGAGAAUCUGCAUAAAAUCCAUUGUGUCCGCAUCUUCGGGUUAUGCUGUAAAUGUGAAACUAAAACAAAUUCAUUAUUAUGAUCAGUUGAUUGCUUCUUUUCAUGUGAUGAUUCAUGAUUUCCUGCUGCCUUAACUUCAGUGACAUUUAUAGCUUGAGGUGAGUUAAUCCGAGUGGUUUCUUCAGUAAUCACAAGCAAUUCAAACUCUUCUUUUGCGCAAUAAAGUCCCCAGUUUGAUAUUUGUA